rnacentral:lncRNA from 1 species
UAUAUGUUCUUCAAGCCAAACUAGAUUUCUUAUGUGUGAACUUUUGGCUGAAGAAGAUCCUCUCUCUUGUUUGCAUGUGAAUCUUUAGUGUAUCUUACAUGAAGAUAUCCUUCAAAUUGAAAUUUCUCAUUUUUCUUUCUUGAAGGAAGGUCAUUAGUUUCUUUAAGAUACAAAGCAUUCAUCCAACAUAUAUAUUUUUAACUAGAUGACUUAAUAUAAGAUAUGACAAUAGUUGCAUGUUGAGUCACUUUAUUCAAGAGAUUGCCUAAAUAUAAGCAAGCACAUAUCACUUGAACUAAAGAGAUAGAUUCAUUAACCAAGAUAGUUCAAGGACAAGCAUGUGAGGCAAUAGACAGAUUUAUCAAGGUCAAAUCAAUUUAUUUUAGAUUCUAUUUGCUUAAGAUAAUUAUCAAUAAGAUGUGUUAACUAAGUUUUAAUCAACUAAUCUUAAACGUUUGUUUCUAUCAAAAUUCAGAUUAUGACGUAUUUGUUAUCAAUAAAAUAUGAUUAAUUAAAGUUAGAUUGAAGUCUUGCACAAGGUCACAUAAUGAGCAUACAAUCUGGUCUACUAGCUAUAUGAUAAAAUAAUUAUUCUAUCAUGCUUUAAUACAGCUUUAAACAAUAGAUCUACUUUGCUCAUCCUUUACAAUUUCUACAAGAUGGGGUCAUAGAUAUACCUUCUUCACGCCAAUCUUCUAUAAGAGUUUUCUUGUGGACUAACGUUGGUCAAUGAAGAUCCCCUUUCCUGUUUGUCUUAAUUUGGAGUUUGAGAGAAGAUGUUAAUUCAUUCAUCAUAUUUCAAACUCACCUUGCAAUAUAACUAUUCAUAUAGAUUUUCAUUGGUAGAACAAAAAUGAUGCCAUCAAUGUGUGCUAUGAGCAAGCAAGAUAUCAUAGACUCUUCUUUUUGAUGCAUA